rnacentral:rRNA from 1 species
UACGGAGGGUGCAAGCGUUAUCCGGAUUCAUUGGGCGUAAAGGGUGCGUAGGUGGGUUGGUAAGUCAGUGGUGAAAUCUCCGAGCUUAACUUGGAAACUGCCAUUGAUACUAUCAGUCUUGAAUAUUGUGGAGGUUAGCGGAAUAUGUCAUGUAGCGGUGAAAUGCUUAGAUAUGACAUAGAACACCAAUUGCGAAGGCAGCUGGCUACGCAUAUAUUGACACUGAGGCACGAAAGCGUGGGGAUCAAACAGG